CAUCUCCAGCAAUGAGCAAAGAGACACAGUGUUGGUGGUGGUGUUCUUAUGUCAGUCAGAGACAGAGCAGAUGGCAGGUUUUGUUCAUCCUAGCUUGAUGACUGGCUUUGGUGGCCAAAGCUGUCUUAUGUCUAGGACUCAUAA